UGGUGGCCUGGUCCCGGGAUGACCGGGCAGGGCGGAAAUCGUGGCGCUGCCUGCCGCGCUGAGAUAAGCGCCGGGGCGGGGCGUCGCCGAGAGGCCCAGGCGUUUCCCACCCGGGGCUGCAGCAAUUAACGCCGGGGUCCCAGGAAGGCCAUGCUGACUGGGACCUCGGAGCGCCUCUGCCGCCGGUUCCCAGGUCUCCCCCCAGAGGCCCUGCUUGGGGUGAAGGAAGAAGCGAAGAAAUGAGGCGGUUUGGCCCCAGGGCUAAUACGGUCUGAACCGAAAGGGAAGGGCUGGGGGCUGAAUGGAAGCUUGGGGCAGAAGGUUCCAGGGGUCUCCUCCUCAUGGCGGUCUGGGGCUGAGAAGACUCCGCAGGGUGACCCUGCUGUCCAGGGACUGGCGCCUCGAAAUUAGCACCUGCAGGGAGAUGUUUGCUUGGUCGCGUUACAAACAAAAAUCUUACUAUCCAUUGGGUGGACGCAGGGAUUUACAGUAUUGUAACUUCGUCACCCACCACAGGAAAGGUUCAGCCAAGAAAUCUAGAGAAGAUAGUCCAUGCACUGGGCAGCAAAGGCCCCAACCAAAUAACUUGCCUGAUCAUGGAUAAGACCAAUGCCCGAGGAGAGAAGAAUGAAGACUGCAGAUAUGGAAGGCCAACUCUACUAUCUUCGAAGUUACUACCUCUGAAUUUCUUUGACCUGACAAAUAGGUAAGUGUGUAUUGUUUAAGCAACUAUCUUAAAGCUAAACAAUCCUGAGAUAAGGGUGCUGCAGAUAAAGGGACACGCAGGUACAAAGGUUCUGAGGAAGGAAAGUGCUUCACAUAGCAAGUCACAGCAAGGUGAAGUGACUGAGGUGUAAGUAAUAGGUGGAAAUGGUCAGAGAUAGGGUGAGCUGAUGGAGAGUUAGAUAGUAUAGGAUCUGGCAGUUCACAGGGACUUUGAGAUUUUCGUUUCCCUUCACUUCAUUUCAUUUCACUUCAUUGAUAGGACCAGACUGGCCUCAAACUCCUGGGCUCAAGCAAUCCUCCUGAGUAUCUAGGACUGUGGUUGUGUGCCAUCAAACCUAGUUGUGCUUUUAUUGAGGUAUGGGCAUCCAUUGAAGGAUUCUGAAAAGAAAAAUACCCAAACUGGUUUAUAUUUUAAAAUAAUCUUUUGUAGCAACCUGACCAAUGCUAAUGUUUAAA
rnacentral:lncRNA from 1 species